GGGGGUAUAGCUCAGCUGGGAGAGCGCUUGACUGGCAGUCAAGAGGUCAGCGGUUCGAUCCCGCUUAUCUCCA
rnacentral:tRNA from 2 species